rnacentral:sRNA from 1 species
UGCCUCCUAAGGGCCAGUAACUCUGGCGU